rnacentral:rRNA from 1 species
AUUGAACGCUGGCGGCAGGCCUAACACAUGCAAGUCGAACGAGUGGCGGACGGGUUAGUAAUGUCUGGGAAACUGCCUGAUGGAGGGGGAUAACUACUGGAAACGGUUGCUAAUCCCGCAUACCAUCAGCUGUGCCCAGAUGGGAUGCGCUUGUUGGUGGGGUAACGCAACACAAAGGCGACGAUCCCUAGCUGGUCUGAGAGGAUGACCAGCGACACUGGAACUGAGACACGGUCCAGACUCCGACGGGAGGCAGCAGUGGGGAAGAGUGCACAAUGGGCGAAAGCCUGAUGCAGCCAUGCAGCGUGUAUGAAGAAGGCCUUCGGGUUGUAAAGUACUUUCAGCGGGGAGGCGUUACCCGCAGAAGAAGCACCGGCUAACUCCGUGCCAGCAGCCGCGGUAAUAC